AAUGCUCUGCAUAUAGUCUGCAGUACCUAAUGUACUUCUGCAUAAUGUUUAAUUUGGUAUCUGUUCCUUCCAGGUCCUAACUGUUCCAGCCUGGCCACUGGAGAACUGUUGCUGCACUACCUCAAGAUUUCUGCCCCCCUGGUUGAGGUCCUAAUGUCUGCCGUGUUCGGAAAGAGCUCGUUGGCUGCUGAAGUGUUGCUGUGCUGGUGGAGCGGGAAGCUCUCCUGUUGUACACUGGCACGCCCUCUUGGUCAUCAAGGAAGUGGGACGUCUUGUUGGAACUGGGGAAAACCAGGCCAAGUCAAUUCAACCCUGUGACUGUGUUACGAUGUGUAAAUAAAUCUAAAAAUUAA